rnacentral:rRNA from 1 species
UACGGAGGGUGCAAGCGUUAUCCGGAAUCACUGGGUUUAAAGGGUGCGUAGGCGGUUAUGUAAGUCAGGGGUGAAAGGUCACAGCUUAACUGUGAGAUUGCCUUUGAAACUGUGUAACUUGAAUCAGAUAGAGGUUGGUGGAAUGCGACAUGUAGCGGUGAAAUGCAUAGAUAUGUCGUGGAAUACCGAUUGCGAAGGCAGCUAACUGGGUCUUGAUUGACGCUGAGGCACGAAAGCGUGGGGAGCGAACAGGAUUA